rnacentral:rRNA from 1 species
GAUGAACGCUAGCGGCAGGCUUAAUACAUGCAAGUCGAGGGGCAGCAUGAAUGUAGCAAUACAUUUGAUGGCGACCGGCAAACGGGUGCGGAACACGUACACAACCUUCCUAUAAGUGGGGAAUAGCCCAGAGAAAUUUGGAUUAAUACCCCGUAACAUAAUGAUGUGGCAUCACAUUAUUAUUAUAGCUACGGCGCUUAUUGAUGGGUGUGCGGCUGAUUAGAUAGUUGGCGGGGUAACGGCCCACCAAGUCUACGAUCAGUAGCGGAUGUGAGAGCAUGAUCAGCCACACGGGCACUGAGACACGGGCCCGACUCCUACGGGAGGCAGCAGUAAGGAAUAUUGGUCAAUGGACGCAAGUCUGAACCAGCCAUGCCGCGUGAAGGAUUAAGGUCCUCUGGAUUGUAAACUUCUUUUAUCUGGGACGAAAAAAGGCGAUCCUUCGUCACUUGACGGUACCAGAUGAAUAAGCACCGGCUAACUCCGUGCCAGCAGCCGCCGUAAGAC